rnacentral:lncRNA from 1 species
CAAUUGAAUGGAGACAAGAUAAUGUCAAUACAAGCCAAAGUUGAAAUCCAGGUACCAAUGACUCAGCAGACCAAGGACAAAUCCCAGAAAAUGAAUAGCCUCGGUUUCAUCGUUUGAUUGAAGCUUAUCUCAGUUACAAGGAUAAUGCUCACCCACAUCCCACAGCAUGGGUUUCCCAAGGAUGUUUCAACACUUCCCAACUGCCCAGUUGCCAGAUUUGUCUCCAAUCAAGUUAAAUCCGAGACCAGCUCGGAUGCAACCUUCAGAAACCUCUAAGAGAGCAGGAUCUACAUGCCCAGCUGCAAUAUAUAAGGAGGCGCGAGCGCGAGUUCAGCAGUGAGGCGGGAAACAGCGGCGGCAGCAGCAGCAGGACGAGCGGAGCUCUCAUAACUUCAUCAUGGAUGGAUUAAGGGCAGCGUGCUGAGUCUCCGUUUGGCUGUUUUUAUUAACCCAGGUAAGAGAACGCGGUUUACACGCUAAGGGUUUAUCUUCACUGUCAUCUUCAGCAGACAGAC